AUAUGCUAUGUUUGUUCUUGGUAUGAGCUUUCAUGUGCAUGCACACGUCUUCAGAUACACUUCUUAUCUGAGGAAGUGUGCAUGCACAUGAAAGCUCAUACCUUGAACAAACUUAGUUGG